UCGCACCGUCAGUUUCUUCCGCCGCGCCUGAAAGGCGUUCAGUGUCGAGCCGAAGAAACGCGCGCUUCUUCUA